UACAGAGGGCUCAAGCGUUGUUCGGAUUUAUUGGGCGUAAAGGGUGCGUAGGCGGCGCGGUAAGUCGGGUGUGAAAUCUCGGAGCUUAACUCCGAAACUGCAUUCGAUACUGCCGUGCUUGAGGACUGGAGAGGAGACUGGAAUUUACGGUGUAGCGGUGAAAUGCGUAGAUAUCGUAAGGAAGACCAGUGGCGAAGGCGGGUCUCUGGACAGUUCCUGACGCUGAGGCACGAAGGCCAGGGGAGCAAACGGG
rnacentral:rRNA from 1 species